UACGUAGGGUGCAAGCGUUGUCCGGAAUUAUUGGGCGUAAAGAGCUCGUAGGCGGUUUGUCGCGUCUGCUGUGAAAACUCGGGGCUUAACUCCGGGCCUGCAGUGGGUACGGGCAGACUAGAGUGCGGUAGGGGAGACUGGAAUUCCUGGUGUAGCGGUGAAAUGCGCAGAUAUCAGGAGGAACACCGGUGGCGAAGGCGGGUCUCUGGGCCGAUACUGACACUGAGGAGCGAAAGCGUGGGGAGCGAACAGG
rnacentral:rRNA from 1 species